GCGGCUACUGAUUUUGAGUGCCCAACUUGAGACGCCUUAAAAAGGAGCAGAUACUGAGAGAGCACCCACCCUCUGAAAAUCAACCUCUUUACAAAACAUUGGGGCUAAGAAAGAAAAAGAAAAGAAAGAAGCCCCCAAAAGUGACUGGUCACCUUUAAAUAUUCUAGGCCAUAGGAUAUAUUAUAUAUUGGGUCAAGUCCCUGCCUCCCCCCAACCCCCGCCCCAGGCAACCCCACUGACUUCAGCAGAGACAUGACACACAGAUGAACUUAUCCCAGGACAGUCACAAACGAUUCCGGCAUUUUGUUAGGCAUGAAACGUUUGUGAAAUGCAGAGACUUGGAAGGGGAUGGACGUUUGCUCGGCUCUUCGCACCGCAAUCACAGGCGGGUCUGAUUCAUCCUUCCUGUCUGAGGAUCAACAACUUGGACCCUACCCUAGCCAGGCCCACUUUUAGAGGAGAGAGCGGGUGACUCACUGAUCCCACAGGGAGCCCCUCACCAGAUUUCGAGCAUCCGUUUUCUGCACUGAAGCAUUCCUUCCCUUUGAGCUAGGAUAUGCUCCUAGCCCCGUUUCCUCCCCUAUGUGCCCUCCACCAUACCUCUCGGAAGAGCCAGUUUCUGCCCUGGAGGUGGGUGGACUCCUCUUUGAGCUUGCUCUGCCUCUGACGAACUAACAACGCAAGACCGAAAAUUAAAAUGUGUCCUGCUAGGAAGAAAAGGGAUUAAGAACGGCCUGUCAGGAAGCACAUUGCAAGGAGAUGGGAUGUACUCAGGUAUCAUUAGAACGGCUGGAAGUGAAACUUCCCACCUGAGGCGAGGGAGUCUCAAUCGAGGUGGAGAACAACAGCCUGUUUACAGGCUGGCCCUGGGGCAGGCUGGAGGAUUUACGAAGACAAAAGAACCCCAAGAAGAGUCUGAGAUGGGGGACCUCCGGGGGUAAGAGACAAUAACUAUAAUUUGUGUCUUAUGUUUUUCUUUUACCGGUAACCUUAUAUUUCCAAAUCCUUAUCCUUGCUUUCACUUCAAUCUUUGUCUCAAGCCUUGUUCAAUAAACGUGGACAGGCCUAUGGUAAAGCCAGAUUUAACUGCCUUGUGCAAAGGAGAGUGUUGAACUGCAGUGGACUUCCAUGAUCAUGCGGCUUGCGGGAAUCACCCAAACUGAAAUUGCACCAGCUAACAGAGGUGCGUCUGCAGCGCUGGAUGAAGAUAGGAGGGCAGAAGCACGUAUUGGCAUUGAAGAUCUUAGAGCAUCUGCUGCCACAGCACAAGUAGCCACCGAACAGUGGUGAAACAGCCUUUUCAUGACAUCCUGCCUGCAAUCAGGCAGGCUCAUGUUUCAUCAGUGAGUCACGGUCACGGCCAAGCUACUUUCACCUCGGGGAAACCAACAGGGCUGUCAAAUCCUUAGCGCAAACGAGAGAGACUUCACGUUUUCCAUUGCAGCAAUGCCCCCUCUGUUAGGACAUAACGCAGGACAUUCAACCAGCUGGCAAAUGCAGAAGUCAGAAAUCAUCUUAGGGUCUCUCCUUCGGUCUCACAACCAACCUCCUUCUUGGAACUCCUGCAGGUGCAAGAUGAAGCAAGGAUGGGGACUGUCGACCACUUAGCACUUAGAGAAAACCUCCUUGGCAGUCUGUGGGAAGAGACUCCCAUCAGGAAGCAGAGCUCACUCUGGGUUAGAGGGCUGAGUGAUGGGGCUGAAAGAGAGCGUCCCCCAGGGAGCUAGUGGGUGGAAGCCCCAUCAUUUGGAGCCUUAGAAACUGGACAAGUGAAGGGCUCGAGAACACACUCCACUGACAGCAAUCUUUCUUCCAACCAGAGAGCGCCGGGUGGGACUACUCUGGAGCACUCCCAAGUCACACUGGCCAGAGAGUAGAGCGGUUACGGAGUAAUCCGUUCCCUUAAGGGGCAGGCAAGGGCAUUAGCUCUGCAGCACUCAGGGUUAGCAGGGGCUGGAGCCUAUGCUUGGCUGCCAAGUCAUUAACCCCUCUCUUGCUGGGGGAAUGUUUCUUUCUGGGAAUCUAGACCUCGCUAUGGUUGCUCUCGAGAAUCCAGGGCACUGUGCCCAGAGACAUGGCCUCAGGGAGUGGGGUGGCCUGGGGAACCGAGCUAAGCCCUGCAUGUAGCUGUCCCACCCUGAGGAGCAUCUCCUUCCGCUGUAGGUCUGAUGCGUCCCCACCUGCAGCCUGGAUACGUUCCUAAGUACUGUGCUGCUCUGCGUGAAGAAGUUGUUAACCAGCACCAUGAAGGGGAAUAGAGAGCAGGGGUGGAAUCCAAGGCCUCUGAAGUGUGCAAGCCCCAAGGAUAACUGCGCAGGUCAGGGAAUCAGCCACAGCGUCUUCAGUGUGUAACAAACAGCUACAGCUUGUGACAUGAGGCUACCUGCUUUGGGGGAGAGGCUGACUUUGGUAUCGAGCCUCAUGUGCCAAUCUCAAACGCUGGACAAACAAGGGAGAUGCUCUAGAUUUCUCUUCCCUCUUCUCCACAUAUGCACGGAAUCCGAUGGGCUUACACCUGGGAUGACUUUGGUCCAUUCAUUAUGGUCAAUCAGGCCACUGCCUUUCUCCCUCCUACAAUUGCAGCCCCUUGGAACUCAGGGAGGAGGAGUUGCUUUUGCAAGCUUCAGACAGGCCUCUGCUGGGAGACUCAAACCAUCAGGUACAAAUCAGCAAAACAAAGUGCCGGGAAUUUCCUAGGCCAAAAUUAGCCCUGGUGUAACGCCAUUUGACAACAGAAGUUGUUACAUCAAGGAUGAACUUGACCUCUUAUUAAAUAUGCCGGCCCAAAGCUGGUGUGAAACAGACAAGCUGUGCAAGAGAAGGGUGCUGAACUACAUGGUGCAGCCACAGUGCUUCAAGCUAUCCUCUUCCAAGCUAAGCAGGGGCAGGCUAGGCCAGCACUGGGAAGGGAGACCAAUUCUCAAGAAGCUGGUUUUUGGGAGCAGUGUAGACGAGCGAGUGUUGAGAGAAUGUGGAAUUGGUCAAUGCUACGCUUGGCUGAUGCAGUAACUCAUGGUGUGGAAUGCUAUCAGAAGCUCCAUAGAACACAUCACCGGACAUCAGCAAUACCAGGAGGGAUGAGCUGGAGUGUGGAUGAGAAGCCUAGUGGGGAAAGUAACUGAAAUAUUUCCUCAUGGACUGUAUUUUCUGACUGAACAACCUACCUACAUUCUCAAUUACUGAGGGACAAUCUUCACUCAUUGAUCUACAGUAUGUGCUUUCCACAGACAACUCUCUGUAUAACUUUUCAGGAGCGAUGUACCCGAAUACUUGGAUGCUAAUAUCUAAACUGUAUUCUUAAAUGUAUUCUCCUAAAUUUGGGUGACUGCUGAUUAUGCACUAUAUGUAGCUUAUGACUUUAAAAACAAACUUUGUAUUUGUGGCUAAUCUAAGCACUAUACCCAGAUGUACAGACACUCUUUUCUCAACCUGUGGAUUAUAUAAUUUUAACAUUAGCUUUAAUAAAAUAUUUAAAUAGUC